GAUGAACGCUGGCGGCGUGCCUGAUACAUGCAAGUCGAGCGAACAGACGAUUAGCUUGCUCCUCUGACGUUAGCGGCGGAAGGGUGAGUAACACGUGGAUAACCUACCUAUAAGACUGGGAUAACUUCGGGAAACCGGAGCUAAUACCGUAUACUAUAUUGAACCGCAUGGUUCAAUAGUUACAGCCGGUUUUGCUGUCACUUAUAGCUGGCUCCGCGCCGCAUUAGCUAGUUGGUAAGGUAACGGCUUACCAGGGCAACGAUGCGUAGCCGACCUGAGAGGGUGAACGGGCACACUGAGAGUGAGACACGACACAGACUCCGAGGGAAGGCACAGGCAGGGACUCUAGCGAACAGGGCGGAAGCCUGACGGAGCGACGCAGCGCGAGUGAUGAAGGGCUGCGGACCGUAUAACUCCGUUAUUAGGGAAGAACAAAUGUGGAAGUAACUAUGCACGUCUUGACGGUACCUGAACAGAAAGCAACGGCUAACUACGUG
rnacentral:rRNA from 1 species